ACACCCUGGCAAUGGGCAAAGAAACACUUCAUUGGUGGUGUUGUCCUUAUAUCAGUCAGGGCCAGAGCAGAUGGCAGCCCUUUGUUCAUCCUAGUUUGUUGUCUGGCUAAGUGGCCAAAGCUAUCUUAUACCUGGGACUCAUAA